rnacentral:lncRNA from 1 species
UUCUUCCAAAAUACAGAUUCAAAGAAACACAACAUAACACACAAAUUACAACAACCUUCAAGAAAAAUUCACCACCAUCAUCUCAUCACUACACAUAAACAACAACCAUCAUCACCAACAUCAUCUCAUCACUAACUCCAACAAAAUAAAAAAAUUCCAACAAAAUCAAAAGGAAACUUUUUCAAAAUCAAACUGAAACAAACAACAAGAAAAUAAAAUUCAUCACAAAAACAUUUCUUGAACAAAGCAUGAAAUGUUGAUGAAGAGAGACAGCGCCCAUAAAACAUAAUGAAAAAAAAAAACCUUAAACGUCUGCAAAUAAAGAGAUGAAUGUGACUGGAUACGUGGCGGCGCCGAUGGUUUAACAUGACCCAUAUGUCAAGGCUGGUUUAAUGUACAUCAUUAAGUGUCAUGAUCCAUUUUCAUCAUUUAAUUUUCUGGUAAUUUAAAGUAACGUUGAAGCAUACCCAUAUGUUUGUUUUCUUCAAACUCAGACCCAUUUGGUUUGUUGGAGUUUUUAUGGUACAAUAGUAAGAAUGGGAGGUUACAUGUUUUUUGGUUGAAAUUGGAACUCGGUUUUGAUUGAUUUUUCAGUUUUUGGAAUGUGAUUUGAAUUGAGUGUUUUUAUAUUUUGUGACUUUGUGUUUGUUGUUGUUGUACGAACACAGGGAGAUGUUAGAUCUGCGGGAGUGAGGGAAAUUAAAUUGAAGUGAAAAAUCAUAGAAACAACUGGAUUUUUGUUCCGUUGAUGAUGUUUGUUGAUGUGGAAUUGUUGCAGAAUAGUUGUUGUUUUGAUUUUGAAAAUGGUGUUGAAUUGGUGCAGAAUUGAUUUUUUAUUUUAUUUUAUGAAUGUUAGUGAAGAUGGUA